GACCUACACAUUUGGAUUCAGAGAAAUGUUAGAAGAAUGGUCUCCAAUUACGAUGAUUCAUUUUAAAAUUGAUAAAUCACAUGCAUUUGAAGGAUUUAUAGGGAGGAAAAUGUAGGGAAGCUAUGAUAAGAUCAAUCAUUUAUUUACUUCUUUUUAGAUUACACUGCUCAACUCAAACAGUGCUGGCUCCUAACCACACAGUAGAUCAUUUUUUAAAAGAGUAACCUCCCUCCCAUGUAAUAAAAGGCAAUAUAAAAAUACAAACAUAAAAUGGGAAAUCAACUGUAGAACAAAAUAACCACAGGGGGACUCCCAUUAAGUUGGUCCCUAAUGUUUGUGGGAAGACAAAAGGUCUUACUAACUUUUCUAAAAAUGAAAAGAAUAGGGCCCUGUUGUAUAUUGGAGAGGGGGAGAUUGUUCCAGAAAACAGGUGAACACACUGGAAAGUGUCCACAAGAAAACCACAUUUCUUAGGUUACAUAAGGUAGGAAAAUUUUAAAAAAGGAAUCUGGAGCAUUCCUUUCCUGUGGAAGUUAUUGGGAAAAGUAACCUGGUCUAUGCCAUGUAAGGCUUUAAAGGGAAUCACCAGCAUCGUGAACUAAACCCAGAAGUCUGUCAGGAACCAGUGUAAACAGUAACACGUUUGGCCCAAUAUACUGUUCAAUGAAGCAGGUGCUGUGAGAGCAUUGCCACAGCUAGUGUUCUGCUGAAAAGUUGCUCAGUAGCUUCAUGAGUUCUCAGCUGAAUCACAGCUCCAACUGCAGUACUGCAACACCACCAAUGCUGUUCAUCCUGGCUUCACCACAACCGCCUCUCUUUGGAUGCUCAGUAAUCGGCAUAUGCUUCCAAAGGUAGUUCUGACUGUCUGAGGCACCUGGAAAACCAGCUCAGAGUCCAGCAGUCUUUUUCCAUCAGGAAUCAAAAGCCACCUGCAACUAUAAGAGUCCCGUCCCGGUAAGAUGCAUCCUCCAUUCCAAAAAACAAAAACAAAACAAUCCUAACUGCAACACUCAAGCCUCAAAACUGAACACUACCUUCCACCAUAUAUCCUAAAUCCAUCAUAAAAAUCCCUCAGCUAACAAAGUACUGCCCGCAUUGGUUGUCAUCUUAAACAAAGGAGGCAUCACUACUUCACUAUCAGAAUUAUAAAGUAUAGCAAUUUCUAAAUUCCUCAAAGGGUAAAGGUAUCAUGUUUAACACAUUAUUUAGGUAAAUGUACCUGGAACUAGAAGCCCCAAAACACAAACAAAUGUGAAAUAUGCAGUAAAAUAACAAUAUUUAAACUAUCUGAUUUAUAUAAUUUCCUCUGAAUUAUUCUCUCACAACCUGCUGAGAGAUCAAGAAAUGUCACCUUCAUUCUGGUUCCAUCAGCAGUAAUCAUUGAUCAGUUUUGAAUUUGAGUUGCCAUGUUGAUGGGUUCUACCAUCAACAGCAUUAUUCCCAACAUGUGACAUUCUGCUUUGUCAAAAAAUAAGUUAAUCAUACUAUUUUUACAACUUGAAAAUCAGCAACUUACAAUGCAACAAUGAUCUAAACCUUAUAAUGAACUAGCAGGAAAACAAAACUUGCAGCCCAUGCUUAGCUACUGUGGAACUGUGAAACAGUGGAAAAUGCAGAAUUAAGAAACAAGAGGUGAUAUCAACCAGAUCCAUCAUAGAAGACCUGGAGAAUGGAAGGGCAAUUGCAUCAGAAAGAUCUUGCUUAUAAAAAUUUCUAAUGCUGUUAAGAAUCUCUAGUGAAUUAAUUUAUUAAAUCUGUAGUCUGAAAAUCAGCAGUUAUAUUGGAAGAGAAGAUGGAAAAAUCUAUCAUUUCAUGAAGCAACACUUUGUUAUUUUCCUCCUAGCUAUUUCAACUUGAAGCAAGCCCAAGAUGGGACAGGUAUGAUCCUGCUCUUUACUUAAGCCAUUACUUCAACAUAAUAGGAUGACUCUAGAAUGAGUUUUCUCAAAGCAUUCUGACAGGUGUCUUAUUCACUUUAUCUGCAAAAAAAAUGAGUGGGUAGGAAGAAAAAAAGCUAGGUUUUCUUGCCCUUAAUUUGGAGGGGUGGCAGAACUAAUACCUAAUCUCUAUCAGAUGUUUUAUUCUAGGCUAUCUUAAAUUCUCCCUGUCCAUUUUCAAAGAAGGACUAUGAAUCACACCAGCCUCAAAGUCACUAACAUGACAUAGAUUCAUCCCAUAUUGUGGUUAUUUCAUACGCAAGAAUAGGAAGAUAAUAAUCUGAGAACAGGUGAAUAUAAAAUUCAGAUAAAGUUUUAACAAUGACUACCAGUGAAAGCUGGCAGACACAAUGCACUGAGAAUGGGGAAAGAAUUCUAAAUGGAACACUUCCUCAAGAGGACACUCCCAGAGUGAAUAAGCUUUUGAACACCCAUGGCAUUCUUGAGUGUUCUCCAUAUUCUCCAAAUAUUUACUGAUUUCUUCCAGAAAUAGCAUUGUAAAAUAUUUUGCUUUGAGACUUCUCGCAACAUAUACUCAUAAUCCUGGUAACGUGCAUCUUGGUAUAAAUCCAGAAUCUCUUAAAAAUGUUCUCUUACUUGCUGACCUUUUCUGUUGUAAGUCGAACUGUCAUUAAUGUGAAAGAGAAAAUUUGAAAUGGAACAGCAUACAAACUUUGGUAAUAAAGUUCCUAAAAAUCAGGUGACCAACAUAGCCAACAUAAUAUUUGACCCAAUGCAUUGAAAGCAACUCGGAUAAAAGGGCAGCUUACUUCUUUUAUCUUAUUUAUGUUUGCAAUAUUGUAAACCAUUCAAUCCCCCGAGGCUUUGGGUUGUGAACAAUGACGUGGACAUAAAACACGAAGCAAAUAAACUUUGUAUAUUUCAAAACAGCAGGUUAGACAUGAUCCAAGUCUGCAACGCCUUCAUAUACUAAUCAGUGAUCACAUCUGAGUUUACUUUCAGGAGAGGAACAAUCUCUAUCACUUACAUAUGAAGUUUUCCCAAAGGAAAGAGAAAAUAAACCAGUUUUGUUAAAAAGUGGGGAGAGGGAAGGUGCAUGGAGCAUUCCUCCUUCUGAAAGCAGCAUGAAGAGAAAGUGGACGUAAUGACACACCUUCUUCGUAAUAGAUCCUAAUUCUCUGGAAUCUCUCUCAGAGGUAUAAAGUCAUUCUUGCAUUUCAUAGGCAAAUAAAAUAUAUCCUAUUCCAGUGAACCCUUGGCUCGGGUUUCAAUCAUAGCAACUAACUCUUUUAUUCCAUGUUGUAUUAUUAUAUAACAGAGUCACCAGUAUCCACCAUGGCACUGUGAAAUAAAUAAAUAUGUAUAUACGUAUACUCACAUGUACUCUGUGAUAGGUGUAGAUGAAUCAAGAAAGAUAAAUAAUCACAGUAUGUAAGUGGGAAAAUAAAGACUUAUGGGUUCAUUCAAAGAAAAAGGAACUUGUAUUGUCUAUCAUACAAUUCCAGUAUUUCCUAAAAAAGCACAAGUAACCAUGUCAGCAGGGUUUUUAUACAUUUUAUUAAGGAGAACGUUAAAAUAGAUAUGUUAUCUUUCAGAUGUCCCCUGAAAAAUUAAUCCUUUGUAUCUGCCAGUUGACAAUGUGAGUUCUCUCUUUUCCCCAAAAAGCAAUGUAUACCAUCUACAUUAUUUCCAU